UGGGGAAUUUUGGACAAUGGGGGAAACCCGUGAUCCAGCCAUCCCGCGUGUGCGAUGAAGGCCUUCGGGUUGUAAAGCACUUUUGGCAGGAAAGAAACGUCGCGGGUUAAUACCCCGCGAAACUGACGGUACCUGCAGAAUAAGCACCGGCUAACUACGUGCCAGCAGCCGCGGUAAUACGUAGGGUGCAAGCGUUAAUCGGAAUUACUGGGCGUAAAGCGUGCGCAGGCGGUUCGGAAAGAAAGAUGUGAAAUCCCAGAGCUUAACUUUGGAACUGCAUUUUUAACUACCGGGCUAGAGUGUGUCAGAGGGAGGUGGAAUUCCGCGUGUAGCAGUGAAAUGCGUAGAUAUGCGGAGGAACACCGAUGGCGAAGGCAGCCUCCUGGGAUAACACUGACGCUCAUGCACGAAAGCGUGGGGAGCAAACAGGAUUAGAUACCCUGGUAGUCCACGCCCUAAACGAUGUCAACUCAGCUGUUGGGGGCCUUUCGGCCUUGGUANGCGCAGCUAACGNGUGAAGUUGACCGCCUGGGGAGUACGGUCGCAAGAUUAAAACUCAAAUGAAUUGACGGGGGUCGAUA
rnacentral:rRNA from 1 species